GUUACGGAAGGGAUAUGGAUUAGGGUCCGGGUUAGGGUAAGGGUUAGGAUUAUGGUUAGGGUUAGGGAAUGGGUAAGGUUUAGGUUACUAGUUAGGGUAUGAAAACGGGUUAGAGUUAGGGUACGUGUUAAGCUAUGGGUUAGUGUUAGUGUACGGGUUAGGAUUAUGGUACGGGUUAGGGUAUGAGUACAGGUGAGGUUUAGGGUACGUGUUAGGGUAUGGAAUAGUGGUAGUGGACGGGUUAGUAUUAGGGUACUGGUUAGGGUAAGGGGUUAGGGAUCGGGUACGGUUUAGGUACAGGUUAGGGUAAGAUAACGGGUUAGGCUUAGUGUAUGGGUUAG